rnacentral:lncRNA from 1 species
GGUGGGGCCUUUGUAUCUCGCUCCCGCCAGAGCUUGGGAUCAGUCUCUGCUGUUUUGAGUCCUCCACCUCGGGAGCCCCCGGUGACUGUCACAGCCUCUUGCCCUGUGAUCUGCAGGUUCUGGGAGACGCACAGCUAAGAUGCCAGGACAUCCUGGAAGCUGGGAAAAGAUGGAGUUUCACUCUUGUUGCCCAGGCUGGAGUGCAUUAUCCCAAUCUCGGCUUACUGCAACCUCCGCCUCCCAGGUUCUGACAACAAAGGAGAUUGUGACACAUUGCUGGGCCUAACACUAAGUUGAUGUUAGUUAUUUGCUUUGGCUGUGCCCUUGGAAGGCAUUGAGACAUACUGCUAUGCCCAGCACCAAGAUGAUGUAACGUGACUCUUCUGCUUCAGGCCUGCCAAAAGAAAAGAUUGUGACAGAUCACUGGACCCAGCACCUAGGUAGGAUUGUGACAUAUAUCUGGCCAAGCGUACAGAUGUAAUAAUGACUGUCAUACCUUGAAGAAGCCAAUAGGAGAGAGAAUGUUGCUCUCAGGCUUAGGAAAAUGAGGAAGUCU